rnacentral:lncRNA from 1 species
UGUGGGCAUAGAUAUUUAGCAAAGUUGACAUGCAUUUAGUCUACUGUUUGAGGUCAACAAAUAAAGGUCUGACUUAGGCAAAAAGAAAAAUGUCUUACAGCCAGUGUUUAUAUUCCAAACAAUGGUCUGAGGCCAUGUGUACGGAUACAUGCGCACUUAAAACAACCCCACCAG